CAGAUCCUAUUUGCGCCUGCGCGGGACGGGAGGCUUCGGUGUUGCCGUUUCCCCCUGCUAUUUCCGUUUCCGCGCUUCAAGCGGAUCUCUUCCGCUUAUGGCGCCCGCUGGGAGUGUCUUAUCAGCAGCUUAUACCGCGGAAACUUUAACCUGCGUUUUCCCGUAGAAAUUUUCCUCUCUAGAUUUUGAUUCAGAGUCAUCGAUGUCUUCACACCACCCUCUGUGGCAUGAACAGAGGUGGUAAUGAAGCAUUUCUUAGAAAACAAGGCUGGACCACUGUCUGUGUGAUUUCCACCUUUCUUGCUGACACCGUUCUGCAUGUUUUGACUACCUCCAGGUCAAGAAGAGUAAGGAUAGCCUCUGUGUCUGAGGAGGUCCCUGUGCAUUAUGAGGAAUUGGUUCUAGGAAGAAGGGAGAGUGAAGAGGAACAGAGAGGACCCUCCAGAUCCAGUACGGGCCAACUAAGGGAACUUGGAUGCUCCUGUUCAUGUCCCUUUCUCCAUCACUCAGACUCACCCCAUCCCACCCUGAAUGCAGGUUCCUUUCCCCUCGGUUAUUUUGUGCAUCUCAGAUGAUGACAUGUAUUGUGACUUUAUUCUAUCACAUAUGACUUUUACAUUAUAUCAUAGAAAAAGUUACUUACAUAAAUUACUUAAUGGUGGAUUAGUCAUAGUUAAAAUGUUGUCAGCUUGGUAAACAAAUGAAAUUAUCACACUUUAGUUUUUCUUCGUUGAUCAUUUAUGAAGAUUAGUGUCUCCUCAUUUCAUGGAUGUCACAACUACAUGUUCUUAAGUAGGGUGUAUGCUUGGGGUGUUGUGUUUUCCCUGUUAAUGUUGGAUACUCCAGUGUUCAGCAAACUAUAAACCUAUCAACACACAUUUGAAAAAUCCAGUUGGUUUGUGUUUUAUUUCGUGUAUCCUGUCUUUACGAUAUUAUAUCUUUUCU